CGGGGGGCAGCAGUAGGGAAUAUUGGGCAAUGGACGAAAGUCUGACCCAGCCAUCCCGCGUGCAGGAUGACGGUCCUCUGGAUUGUAAACUGCUUUUGUCUGGGAAGAAAAGUCUGAUUCUUCAGGUACUGACGGUACCAGACGAAUAAGCACCGGCUAACUACGUGCCAGCAGCCGCGGUAAUACGUAGGGUGCAAGCGUUAUCCGGAUUCACUGGGUUUAAAGGGUGCGUAGGCGGCUUUUUAAGUCAGUGGUGAAAACCUACAGCUUAACUGUAGAACUGCCAUUGAAACUGAAAAACUUGAGUACAAUUGAAGUGGGCGGAAUACAUCAUGUAGCGGUGAAAUGCUUAGAUAUGAUGUAGAACACCGAUUGCGAAGGCAGCUCACUAAAUUGCAACUGACGCUGAGGCACGAAAGCGUGGGUAGCGAACAGGAUUAGAUACCCCAGU
rnacentral:rRNA from 1 species